AUUGACCUCGGAUCAGGCAGGGAUACCCGCUGAACUUAAGCAUAUCAAUAAGCCGGAGGA
rnacentral:rRNA from 1 species